CGUUGAGAGUGAUGCCAGGAAUCAAGAUGGCCGCCUGGGACCGCUCUCAGCACCUUCGGCCUCUACCUGAAGAGCCACGCCCCGUCUGCUACACCCAACCGAUUGGUUCCUCAAUCACAGAGAGGAAAGGCAACAUGAGGAUGACGUCAGAUACAAAUAUGGCGUUUUGGACGGGCUCGAUAGUUUGCUUGGCCUCUACUCAAGGAAUGCUGAUGGUAUAGCAAGAAGGUAUUCUGAGCAUUAUAUCAAUGGGGAAGUUCUAGAUCUUUUGCAAAGCAGGAGCAAGCUGCCCUGUUGUGAGCUCUCUGGUGGAGAGCCCCACAUGGCAAGAAAAUGAGAAGCCCCCUGAACAGACAAGAGCUGAGGCCCAGGAUACAAUAUCCUGAAAAAAACUGAAUCCUGCUGACAGUUGCCCAAGUGAAGCUGGAAGUGGAUCUUUCUGCAGUGGAUCCUUGAGAUGACUGCAGCCGUGGCUGACAACUUGAUUGCUGCCUGUGAAGGACCCUGAACCAGAGGACUCAGCGAAAUUGUGCCCAGAUUCCUGACCUACAGAGGCAGUGAGAUAAUAAAUGCUGUUGAGGUCACAAA